CAGGCAUUAUUGAUAUGCUGACAAGGUAAGUGACCAUACGAGUGAGCACAAUGCUGACAGGGUCAGUUAGAUUAGGCAGGUUGAACUGUAGGUGGAGGCAAAGCAAGGGGGAGGGCAAUUUUAGUUCGUUUAUUAGGGUGGCUACUUACUGGGUCAGGUAAUCUCCUUCUAAGUUAUUAGAGUUAUUGUUGGGUACGAAUUCAAGCAAUGCGUUGGUGCUUGGCUAAGAUGAGAUCUUCAGCCAACUAAGCAUGUUCAAGCACCUCCACAUACAAGCUAGGUCUCAGUAUCGUGGCCCAAUCAUAGAUGUCGACACGAAGGUCCUUAAGAAACUUCCUAGCUUUUUGGCUCUCGAUGGUGACCAUUAGAAGGGCAAAACAGGCUACAUAAUGGGCAAUCGUCAGACUCCCUUGGCGUAGGUCCUAAAAUUCCUCUUCUUUCUUUUCUUGGACAUAGGCAAGGAAGAAGUUAUCAAAUAAUGCAUCCAUGAAAACUUCCUAGGUUGUAGGGGUAUGCAGGACUUCUUUUCUAAGUCACCACCAGUGUUCUACUUCUCGUUUUAGCAUGAAGGCUGUAAGGGAAACUUUCUGUUCCUCGGUUAGAUAUAGGAUAGAGAAG
rnacentral:lncRNA from 1 species